GUAUUAAAGGCAACGCCUGCCCAGUGAGAAAUUAAACGGCCGCGGUAUCCUAACCGUGCAAAGGUAGCAUAAUCAUUUGUCUAUUAAUUGUAGACCUGUAUGAAAGGCAAAAUGAGAGCCCAACUGUCUCUUAUAACAAAUCAAUUAAACUGAUCUUCUAGUACAAAAGCUAGAAUACCAACAUAAGACCAGAAGACCCUGUGAAGCUUUAACUAACCUAUUAAACCCAAUAAUAGCCACUUUAGGUUGGGGCGACCUUGGAAUAAAAAAGAACUUCCAAUCUAUGACUUCCUCAUUAAACUAAGGCAAACAAGCCAGCACUAGACCCAGUAUAACUGACAAUUGAAACAAGUUACUCCAGGGAUAACAGCGCUAUCUUCUUUAAGAGCCCAUAUCAAAAAGAAGGUUUACGACCUCGAUGUUGGAUCAGGACACCCCAGUAAUGCAACCGUUACUAAAGGUUCGUUUGUUCAACGAUUAAUAGUCCUACGUGAUCUGAGUUCAGACCGGAGCAAUCCAG
rnacentral:rRNA from 1 species